rnacentral:rRNA from 1 species
AGUGAACGCUGGCGGUAGGCCUAACACAUGCAAGUCGAACGGUAGCACAGGAGAGCUUGCUCUCUGGGUGGCGAGUGGCGGACGGGUGAGGAAUACAUCGGAAUCUACUUUUUCGUGGGGGAUAACGUAGGGAAACUUACGCUAAUACCGCAUACGACCUACGGGUGAAAGCAGGGGAUCUUCGGACCUUGCGCGAUUGAAUGAGCCGAUGUCGGAUUAGCUAGUUGGCGGGGUAAAGGGCCACCAAGGCGACGAUCCGUAGCUGGUCUGAGAGGAUGAUCAGCCACACUGGGGCUGAGACACGGUCCAGACUCCUACGGGAGGCAGAAGUGGGGAAUAUUGGACAAUGGGCGCAAGCCUGAUCCAGCCAUACCGCGUGGGUGAAGAAGGCCUUCGGGUUGUAAAGCCCUUUUGUUGGGAAAGAAAUCCAGCUGGUUAAUACCCGGUUGGGAUGACGGUACCCAAAGAAUAAGCACCGGCUAACUUCGUGCCAGCCGCCGCAGUAA